rnacentral:lncRNA from 1 species
GGAUAAUGCAAGUGUUUAACAGAUGCUUCACUAUUAAAAUAUUUUCCCCCCAAGUCUCAAAUAUUGAAGAAUCUCUAACCAGGGACACCAGUCCCUACGAAGACCUUGGGCGAUUUUGAAGUGCGGGCACCUCGAUUCCCCGAAUCUGUAGUGUGGCUGGUAUCGGUGUUCCCCUGGUUUAACUAGCCUGUUUGUGCCUUUCAAACUGUUUUUUACUGGAUGAAGAAACUCAACCAAGAAAAUAUAUGUCGAUUCUUGUAUAUGGGACAAUAUUAGCUGCUGUGAUUUUUAAUACUAGCAUAAAAUAUAAGAAUCUUUUUAUUACUGUGAUAUUGUUUUUUCCUAAAUGAAUGCAUAGUGUAACAAUUGGUGUCAAAAAGCAUUGAAUUUUUUUCAGAUGGAUUAAGCUGGAAUAAUAAAGUAUAUCUAUGAGAUGAUUUCUGUAAACUCUGACUUGCUGAGAAAAAAGUGAAAAAGCUUUUUCUGGAAGAAACAUGGCAACUUAACCGUUAUUAAUCUGGACUAAAUAAAACAGGAAACUGCUUCUUUACAUUUCUAGUAAUUUUUUCUGCUUUUCCAAACAUUGUUAAGUUCUAUGCAACUUGUGCUAUUCAAGUAAAGAUGAUGUCAGUAAUAAAAUUACAGAAUCUAA